rnacentral:rRNA from 1 species
UACGUAGGGUGCGAGCGUUAAUCGGAAUUACUGGGCGUAAAGCGUGCGCAGGCGGUGAUGUAAGACAGAUGUGAAAUCCCCGGGCUCAACCUGGGAAUGGCAUUUGUGACUGUAGAGCUAGAGUACGGUAGAGGGGGAUGGAAUUCCGCGUGUAGCAGUGAAAUGCGUAGAUAUGCGGAGGAACACCGAUGGCGAAGGCAAUCCCCUGGACCUGUACUGACGCUCAUGCACGAAAGCGUGGGGAGCAAACAGG